rnacentral:sRNA from 1 species
GCCACUUUCGCGGCCGGAGAGAGUCUCAGCCUCCCAGAGCUCCACCUACUGUUCAGACUUCAGCCAUUGGAAAAUGAAGUUUGUGGAUUGGUAUUUGAAGAUCGCAUUUGGGUCGGCUCUGAUUGGAGCGUCCAUGGAGCUUUUCAUGAUCGAGAUCGGCUUCUGUGAAGAAGAUAACAGUACUAGCAGGAGAUCAAUUGAGAAAUACUGUAAAAGAUGACAUUGUUUCUUUUAGUUGAACAACGUGAGAGGUGACCUUGAUCAUCCCGAAAGUUAUUUCAUUCCUUCGAUUUAUAUAACUUAACUUAUAUCGUUCUUGUCUUGGGGAACAUGAUCAACAGUUUUGAAAGAAUAUGAAUGUAGCCAUUUUGGUUGGUUCUUGUACGCAUCUAUAGUUACAAACGAAUACACUUGAGAAAAU